UACAGAGGUCUCGAGCGUUGUUCGGAUUCAUUGGGCGUAAAGGGUGCGUAGGCGGCGGGGUAAGUCGGAUGUGAAAUCCCGGGGCUCAACCCCGGAACUGCAUUCGAUACUGCCUCGCUAGAGUACUGGAGAGGAGACUGGAAUUUACGGUGUAGCAGUGAAAUGCGUAGAUAUCGUAAGGAAGACCAGUGGCGAAGGCGAGUCUCUGGACAGUUACUGACGCUGAGGCACGAAGGCCAGGGGAGCAAACGGG
rnacentral:rRNA from 1 species